ensembl:lncRNA
GUCUUCAUGCCUGUUCCCUUGGGUAUCUGUGAGAUGAUGUGGCUUUUCAUCUGUGAGACAUGAACUGUGAUUCCUACUGUUAUUUUUCUUUUUCACUGAAAAAUUGUCUUUAAUAUUUACAAUCUCAUUUAAUAUACCUGUGAAGCUAAUACUUUCACACUCGGCAGCAUUUGUUUGUAAUUUAUUUAUUUUUUAUUUAAAUUAGAAAGAUGCUUCAUUUACAUGUCAAUCUCAGUUCCCUCUCCCUCCCCUCCUCUGCUGCCCCCCACCAACCCCCCUAUUCCAACACCUUUCUGCUCCCUACGAAGGGUGAUGCCUUCCAUGGGAAUCUUAAUGUCUGUCAUAUCAUUUGGAGCAGGGCCUAAACCCCCUGAAAGUGUGUCUAGGCUGAGAGAAUAUCCCUCUAUGUGGAGAGGGCUCCCAAAGUUCAUUUGUGUACUAGCGGUAAAUACUGAUCCACUAUCACUAGCCUCAUAGAUUGUCCAGACCUCCAAACUGACUAGUGCCUUCAUCCAGUAGCUGAUGGAAGCAGAUGCAGACACCCACAGCUAAACACUGAGCUGAACUCUGGAGUCCAGUUGCAGAGAGGGAGGAGUGAUGAGCAAAGGGGUCAAGACCAGGCUUGAGAAACCCACAGAAAUUGCUGACCUGGACAAGGGUUUGCUCCUGGACCCUAGUCUGAUAGCUGGGAAACUAACACAGGGCUUUUCCAGACCCACUUGGAAGCAUUUUAUUAUGGUCUUGCACACUUUCAUGGAGAGGAGUGUGAACAAGCAGUUCAUUUCAGGGAGACUGGUUAAACCUGGAAUGAAAAAGUCUUUGGAAAUUUGCAAGCAAUGGGCGGUGUACCUACCAUUAGUGUUUACAAUGCAAAAGUAGUAAUCAAGCAAGGAUAUGUUCCUGCCAUAGAAACAUUGUAUAUGAGUGGAAAGAGAGCAUGACUAUUAACUAAGAAAGACCAUGAGGAUUAAUAUAUCUCAGAGAGGAGAAUGCUAUAAUGGAUGACAGAGAAUAUAGUAAGAAGCUAUUUUGGGAAUGGGAGAUCUUAGAGAUAGCACAGCUAAGUUCAUCAGGAGAAGGAGCAGGUACCAAUUGUCAUUGCAAUGAUUGUGUAUUAUAUAUUGUUCUCAAGAUUAUCUUCCCUUUAAGGAAAGAACAACUACAAAAUCCUGAAGUGGGAACUGUCAUGCUAUAUCCUGAGGUCAGCAACACUCUUUAGUAACUUGAGGAAUAAUUGCUGAAAAUUUCCAGGGUAUUAGAGUCCAUGAUGGUGCAGCAGAAGUAGCAGGCAUCAAGUGGGUGAAACAGAAGCUGAAGGCUCACAUAAGAAGCGGCAAGAGUGCAUUGGGGAGAGUUUAUGGUAGGAGACUUUUGAAUAUUAAUUAAUGAGUGACACACCUGCUCCAACAAUUGGAUUCUAAUAUUCAAACUUAUGAGCUUACAGAGGCCAAACUCAUUAAGGCUGCCACAUCUGUCAGCAAGUGAAUGGGAAGGCAAAUGUGGACUUCAGUACAAGAGAAUGCUGCUAAGCAAAUGAAAGAGAUGAGCUCAGUCAUGAAGAGGGCCAAUGAGUACUGAUUGCUAUGUGAAAGAAGGAAGUCUGGAAAUAUUACAUAUAGCUUGAUUUCAAAUGGGUAAUAUUUUUGAAAGAUAAAAGCAUCUUUAGAGUGUCUAGUGAUGCAUCCAUAAAAAUAUCCCUGGCCACAAACAUGGAGUAGGAAAGGGGAAAUAUAUAGAAUGUAAGAUUUUUUAGGAUGGUAAAACCACAUCAGUGAAAUUAUAGCUAUAUUACCUCACACAUUUCUCAAAAC